GAGCUCAAAUUUGAAAUCUGGCGUCCUCAGGGCGUCCGAGUUGUAAUCUAUAGAGGCGUUUUCCGUGCCGGACCGUGUCCAAGUUCCUUGGAACAGGAUAUCAAAGAGGGUGACAAUCCCGUACUUGACACGACGACCGGUGCUCUGUGAUACGUCUUCUACGAGUCGAGUUGUUUGGGAAUGCAGCUCAAAAUGGGUGGUGAGUUCCAUCUAAAGCUAAAUAUUGGCGAGAGACCGAUAGCGAACAAGUACCGUGAGGGAAAGAUGAAAAGCACUUUGGAAAGAGAGUUAAACAGUACGUGAAAUUGUUGAAAGGGAAACGAUUGAAGUCAGUCGUGACCGAGAGGCUCAGCCGGUUCUGCCGGUGUAUUCCCCUCGGUCGGGUCAACAUCAGUUUUGUCCGGUGGAUAAGGGCGGUAGGAAGGUGGCACCCUCGGGUGUGUUAUAGCCUGCCGUCGCAUACAUCGGGUGAGACUGAGGAACGCAGCUCGCCUUUAUGGCCGGGGUUCGCCCACGUCCGAGCUUAGGAUGUUGACAUAAUGGCUUUAAACGACCCGUCUUGA
rnacentral:rRNA from 1 species